AUAAGAAAAUAUUCCAAAGAAAAAAUCAACAUUCUCCGCACUAUAUUUCCCCAAAUCAUCGAUAGUGAUAUAAUUUGUGGGUCCAUAUUAAGUGUACUAUCUCAAGUCAUCAUUUUAUAUGUACAAUCCCGUGCAAAAAGACACACCUAAACAUAUAGGAUCUCAGUUGGUGAAUGUUAUUAAGUUUAACCAUCAUACAACAAAAGUAAUUCAUCAGCUUAAAUAAACACUUCUCAACAUCAAUGUUAGGUUCAUACGCACUUCUUGCAUUUAGGCAUUACAAAUGUGUCUUAGCUUUCAUUACCAAGAAACAAAACUGUAUACUGUAAUGCAUAUAGUCAUUUUGCCCUUAAAAUUUUCAAGAAUUACAAAUGUGUACUAUACGUGCUAUCCUAUAUGUGUAUGCGUUCACAUCAUAUAUCAAAACUGUAUAUUAUAAAUUUGUAAUGCAAAUAGUUAUUUUUGCAAAUUAUACUCUAAAUGGAUAUUAUGUUAAGUUUCUCAUCUAAAUCUAUUGUUUUUUUUAAUAGUACAGAUAGGGAUGUUAAGAUGGGUUUAGGUUCGCGAGCUUUUAAUGGGUUCUGAAAAAAAUAAAUGUCCAUUUAGACCCAUUUAGCUAGUCGGGUUUUAAAUGGAUAACCCUUUUAAGACCCAUUUAUUAAAUGGGUUUUCGCUAAAAUAAACGGGAACCCGUUUAACCCAUUAAUGUUUUUUUUUUGUAUUUUAAACGUUGUCGUUUGGUUCCUUAAGGGCCUUCAGUUUUUUUUUGUUUCCAUUUUCAUCUUCUCCUUCGUCGAUCAAAUCGCCUCCGAUCUCCACCGCCUCUCAACUUCUGAAACUUCCGGUGAAGCGUAAUCUCCACCGCUUCAACUUCUGAAACCCAUAGUCUCCACUCAAGUUCCAAUCAAGUUCCGAUCAAGUUCCGUUUCUGAAGCCCACUCCCAACUCGAGAUCGAAAAGGAAGAGCUGAGGAAAGUGUUUGCUAGACAUACUGCUCGGGUUUGCUUUACUUCUGAUCUUUGGACAUCUCGUCCUAAUAGCAUGGGAUAUAUAUGUCUUACUGCCCACUUCAUAGAUGAUGGCUGGAACUUGCAGAGUAAGAUUCUUGCUUUCUGCGAUUUGAAGCCUCCACACACAGGAGAAGAGAUUGCUAACAAGAUUCUGGAGUGUAUGAUGGAAUGGGGUUUAGAGAAGAAGGUAUUCUCUAUUACUUUAGACAAUGCUAAUAAUAACGACAGUAUGCAGAGGAUCCUCAAGGGACAGCUUCAGAUGAUGAGUGGUUAUGGCUUAUUGUUGGAUGGCAAGUGUUUACAUGUGAGAUGUUGUGCGCACAUCCUGAACUUGAUAGUGAAAGCUUAUGAGAGAAUGGAUCCUUCUACUUCUAGUUUAAAAACUGAAAAGCUGAGGACUAAUUUGACUAAACUUUAUAAAGAGUAUCAAGCCAGGACUUGGGGCAGUUCUUCUGGUACUUCAUCUACACCAGCUCCACAUGAUCUUGUUACUGAAUCACCUCUUGAAGAUGAUUUAGACAAUGUAAGUUUCAAGCAUCUUUACUCUUAUUUUGCAUUUACUUUGAAGAUGAUUUAGACAAUGUAAUAUAUUACAUGAUCUCUUUGAAUUGGAAAGAAGCCUUGGGAGUAAUGUAGGAAACACAAGAACACAUUUAGAUGUGUAUCUGGAUGAGAAGAAGUUAGAUAGAAGGUCUUUUCGCAAUUUGGAUGUAUUAAGCUAUUGGAGGGAAAACCAAGCUCGAUUUGGUGAUUUGGCGAUGAUGGCACGCGAUAUACUGAGUAUCCCUAUCACCACAGUAGCAUCUUAUGAAAAGAUUCUGAAAACAUGAAACUACUAGUUGAGUUAUUAAUCCUAUGCCUUUAUUUUAGUUUAAAUAAAUCUCAGGCUGCUUCUCUUUGUAUAUAUAAACUUUUGAAUGGCUUGUGGAAAAGCACUGUGAUAUUGCUAGAAGAAACUUGCACACUUGUCUUGAAGAAGGUAAGCUGUAUAAGUUUUCAAUGCAGCAGACUCGACACUUUGCUUCUCCUUUUGGUGAGAUGAGGAUUUCGAAUUUUCGAUUGAGCUCUCAAUGUUAAGAGAGUAGUAGAGCGAGGUGCUAAAGCGACCUGAUGCACCCGCUCUAGACGAGUGAAGUGUAGAGAGACCCACUAGAGCAAGGUAUGACACCCACUCUGUACCAGAGCGACCUCUCGCAGCGAGAUAGCGUACCCGCUCUGGGCCCAACAUCCCGUCGACAACUUUCGAGAACCGGAGCGACCAGGACGGAGCGAGGUGGGUACAUCGCGCGUCAAAUCCAUGGAGUGUGAAGGAAGUCAGAGCGACGUCCCAGAGCGAGGUGGCGAUCCCGCUGUGAAGGUGGAGCGACCCACCAAAGCGGGGUCACGAACCCGCGCGCAAGAUUUAUAUUUGGUCGAUUUUUUCAUGUUUUGCUCGGCCUUCUCAGACUUUUUUUUGAGGCCCACUAGGUUUUUAGAAGUACUAUAAAUACUCUCUAAACUUAAAAUUAGGACUUAUCUGAUUAUCUAUCAAAUCAAAGACCAUUUUGGAGAAAAAGAUUGAAUCUUAAAUCCAUUUUCUUUGAGUUUGUUGAAUUAUCUUGAUCACUAAUACUACAUGAUUUGAAUUAGGACCCUUGAAAAGUCCAUUUCAUGAAAAAAAUUUGCUCUAAAAAAUACAUAUCAAAAGUUAUUGAUAAAUAAUUUAUUUGUUUAACUAAAUUUAGUUAGAGUUCAUAAGGUUAAAAAAUGAAAAAGGUAAUUAUGUUUGUAAAAUCAUUUUACAAACAUAAUUAAAACAAAAAAUAAAUAAAAGAAUCUGAUUUAAAUGGGUCUAAAUGGGUUUAAAUGGGUACAUUUAAAUUUCGCGGGUUCUAAAUGGGUACCUCUAAUAGGCCUAUUUUUAAAUGGGUCUAAACGGGUAUGAGUUCUAAAUGGGGUGGGUUCUAAAUGGGGCGGGUUGUACCAUUUUAACAUCCCUAAGUAUAGAUAUAACUAAAAUAUCUAAUACAAGGAGAAUAAAUGAUUUGUAUGAUAAAAUAUCGGGAAAACACAAUAUAUGAACACUAGGAAUAUUCUUCUAGGUUUAAGUUAAUAGCAAAGAUAGAUAUUAACUUUGGAAACAAUCUCAAUUUCAUUUAAAACAUGAUCAGAAAGUAGAAAAAUAUAUAAUGCUAGGGGUUGGCCCGCCCUACGGGCAGGUGAGUUUAUAAUGAAAUUAUUUUAUAUUAAAAUUAUUUUAUAUUAAAAUUAUUUUAAUUUUAUAGAACACUUGAAACUUCGAAUGUUUUAAUGUUUAUUUUGAAGUAGUUUAAUUGUUGUGUAUUGACCAUUGUGUGUGUUGUUGUUUCAUUUUUACCUGAUACUGUAUAUUACGGUGGAGCUCAGUUGUUUUGUUCUGUAAUAAAGCAAUGUGUGCGUUUGUUUGUGUGGUGCAGUGAUGAUGUUUUUAGUUAAUAGGUUGAAUGUGGUAUAGGGAUGAAUGUUUAUAUAACUUUGUAUAUGUUUUGGCAUUUAUUGUUUAGCAAGGAACUUGUCGAUAUAGCUUUAUGAAACUUGGUUAUGUGAGAGUGAUUGUGUAUAUUUUAUUGUGUAGUUAUGUGGUUCUGGUUGGGUAGUUACUGAGCUGCGUGAGAGUUUGUGGGAUGUAACUGGCUUGUGUAUGUUCGGAUCAUUUGUAACGUCUGACACAAUUAUUAGAGGAUGUGUAUAUGAGCAAUCAGCCGUUUUGUUUGUAUAUAACUACUUGAACAAAAUACCUACGAACAAUUGUUCUAGUUAUGUAUGAAUAUAUAAGAGUGAUGGAAUAACUUUGUUAGAGGAUUAAAGUAUUUAUUAACCGGCUGAAUGUGGAGAUUUUUUUGUGCGUAGCUAAGGAGAAUGACAUGUACCUUUCUGGUACUCGUAAUGUAGUUUAUAUGUAGCAUGUCAAUUGUCAUGCUUAUGCAGAUCACAUUAAUCAAUAUUCUACUUAAUGUUCAAAAUUUAACUGUGCUUUGUUAGUAAUGGAGGAUUAGGAUCUUAUUAUUUUAUUAGUACAAAUGACUGUGGAGGUUAACAUUUUGAAGAAAAAAAAAGAAAAAGAAAACAAAAUAGCUAUAAGCUUGGAAGUACUCAGGUUUCAUACUGCUUGGAAAUGUAAUUUAAAAACUAAUGCAACUUAAACGCACUCAUGUCCUGUAACUUAAUCUCCCCUUGUGCUUUGGAUGUUACUCACACUAUGCCUACUUGCCAGAACACCCAACUUCAUUCACAAUUUCCUCCUCGCUUGUCUCCCUUCCAUCAACAGAGGUGUGACUUGAAGCCGUGGCCUCACCUUCUCCACCUUCAACAUCAUCAUUUUCCACAGUCACCAUUUUUCACUGGAGUGAUCUUAAGUACUUCACCCCUACGCAACAGGUUUCCAUUAAAAAACACUUGGGCAUAGAUUUGAGUGUAUGAGAAGACAUCACAUAAAUAUUUAAGACAUGUAAAGAUUUUGAAACCUCCCGUAAGCAUUACUUUAAAAGAAAAUAAAGGUACACUAUUAGCUUAUACAUUCUUAUGCUCAUGGGGAUCAUCAUGCGUUGUGUACUCUUAGUCUUCAUUGUAAGUAGUCCUAAUGCCCUUUACGUGCCCAACAAUAUCUAUUGGAAAACAUUUACGCUAAGCUAGUAAGUGAGAAAUCAAAUAAAUGUUAUCAAAAUUAUUGGGUUUUGGAUUUAAAUUUGACCUGGUAAAUGAGUGUUUGUGUUGGCUAGUUCCAUUUAAUCCGGUGUACACUUAUUGAUGCUGAAUCAACGUCUAUGAGAAAAAAUUGAUUACUCAAAUAAAAUGUUACUCACAUAAAAGAAAAGGUCAAACCAAAUGUUGAAACUAACUAAUAAGUAGAACGUACCUUCGCCCGUCAAGAAGCAACAUACUAAUGCUACAUCGAGAGUAAAAGCUCUGGUAGAGUACAUAUCUAGGAGAAACCUGAAGCUAAAAGAAGUAAAUGAAUCUCUUCUGGUGUUAAUGGUGAGCCUCCUCUGUUUCUUAGCUCUCCAUCUCUGAACCGUGAGUCUUAGACUCUUCCUUGCCAAAUCACCUAAGACAAAGUGAAUGACUAAAAUAUGUUUGUGCAAACCUGCUCUAGAUCAUUAAGCAAAGACAUAUAUAUUUUAGUCAAAGAAGGCACUGAUGUUGAGAACUCUUUUAGUCUAGGUGAUGAAUUCAUUUCAAGAGAAGUAAACAUGAUCGCAGCAAUGAGAGAAGGUAAGAGAUAGAGUCACCUAAGGACUGUUUCUUGUAGUAAAUGAUACUGAUUAUUCAAUGGUUGAAUCUGAUGGUUGUUGUACGAUUAGAUGUUGGACUGCCUGAUUGCAGACGUUUUUUUUAUGAUGAAGAGUUCUAGUGAGGGCCAAAUCUGCAACUGUUUCAGACUCAGUGACUUAGAGACAAUCUAUUGAACAUAUCAAAUACGCAUAGUUUCUCAUGCCAAUCAAUAAAAUAGGAUCAUGAACAAACGAUAGAAAUAUUAAAAAUAUAUGAUUAUAAGGAACUAAUAGAUAUAGAUUUUACGCAAGAGGGAUCAGGUUGUGACAUGAUUCAAUGAUCACCAGCGAGAAUAUCAUAGAUGUUGUAUUGACGGGAGGCUCCUUUAAGUGGAGAUAUCUGCCGAAAAUACAUCUUCCCAUGGAAUAUGAGUGCCCAAAAGAUAAACUCAUAGUUCUCGAUAUACUGAGUGUGUUCAACAGAGAGAAAAAAUGACUUUGUUAAUAAAUAUACCAAAGAGAGUUCAAAUACAUAUUCUUUUUUUUUAUAGCCAGAAUAUAGAAUUCUAAAAAAAAAAAAAAAUUCUUUCAUCAUCGAUUCAUUUAAAUCAAAUGACCCAGAUGAAAAAACUAACCUGUAAAUCUCUAGAAAAUAUCAAAAGAAAAUCUCCAUGAAGCAUA